rnacentral:rRNA from 1 species
UGGGGAAUUUUGGACAAUGGGCGAAAGCCUGAUCCAGCAAUGCCGCGUGUGUGAAGAAGGCCUUCGGGUUGUAAAGCACUUUUGUCCGGAAAGAAAUCCUUGGCUCUAAUACAGUCGGGGGAUGACGGUACCGGAAGAAUAAGCACCGGCUAACUACGUGCCAGCAGCCGCGGUAAUACGUAGGGUGUAAGCGUUAAUCGGAAUUACUGGGCGUAAAGCGUGCGCAGGCGGUUUGCUAAGACCGAUGUGAAAUCCCCGGGCUCAACCUGGGAACUGCAUUGGUGACUGGCAGGCUAGAGUAUGGCAGAGGGGGGUAGAAUUCCACGUGUAGCAGUGAAAUGCGUAGAGAUGUGGAGGAAUACCGAUGGCGAAGGCAGCCCCCUGGGCCAAGUACUGACGCUCAUGCACGAAAGCGUGGGGGAGCAAACAGGAUUAGAUACCCCUGGUAGUCCACGCCCCUAAAACGAUGUCAACUAGUUGUUGGGGGAUUCAUUUUCCUUAGUAACGUAGCUAACGCGUGAAGUUGACCGCCUGGGGGAGUACGGUCGCAAGA